rnacentral:rRNA from 1 species
UGGGGAAUUUUGGACAAUGGGCGCAAGCCUGAUCCAGCCAUGCCGCGUGCAGGAUGAAGGCCCUCGGGUUGUAAACUGCUUUUGUACGGAACGAAAAGCCUCUUUCUAAUAAAGAGGGGUGAUGACGGUACCGUAAGAAUAAGCACCGGCUAACUACGUGCCAGCAGCCGCGGUAAUACGUAGGGUGCGAGCGUUAAUCGGAAUUACUGGGCGUAAAGCGUGCGCAGGCGGUCUUGCAAGACAGUGGUGAAAUCCCCGGGCUCAACCUGGGAACUGCCAUUGUGACUGCAAGCCUGGAGUACGGCAGAGGGGGAUGGAAUUCCGCGUGUAGCAGUGAAAUGGGUAGAUAUGCGGAGGAACACCGAUGGCGAAGGCAGUCCCCUGGGCCUGUACUGACGCUCAUGCACGAAAGCGUGGGGAGCAAACA